rnacentral:rRNA from 1 species
AAUCUUCCACAAUGGACGGAAGGCUGAUGGAGCAAUGCCGCGUGAACGAAGAAGGUAUUCGGAUCGUUAAGUUCUGUUGUGAGGGAAGAACAAGUACGAGAGUAACUGCUCGUCCCUUGACGGUACCUCAUUAGAAAGCCCCGGCUAACUACGUGCCAGCAGCCGCGGUAAUACGUAGUUGGCAAGCGUUGUCCGGAAUAAUUGGCCGUAAAGCGCGCGCAGGCGGCCUUUUAAGUCUGAUGUGAAAGCCCACGGCUCAACCGUGGAAGGUCAUUGGAGACUGGAAGGCUUGAGUACAGAAGAGGAAAGCGGAAUUCCACGUGUAGCGGUGAAAUGCGUAGAGAUGUGGAGGAACACCAGUGGCGAAGGCGGCUUUCUGGUCUGUAACUGACGCUGAGGCGCGAAAGCGUGGGGAGCAAACA